rnacentral:rRNA from 1 species
CGGUAAUACGUAGGGUGCGAGCGUUAUCCGGAAUCAUUGGGCGUAAAGCGCACGUAGGCGGCAUUGCAAGUCGGAUGUGAAAGCCCUCGGCUUAACCAAGGAAGUGCAUCCGAAACUGCAGUGCUUGAGUACUUAAGAGGAUCGCGGAAUUCCCGGUGUAGAGGUGAAAUUCGUAGAUAUCGGGAGGAACACCAGUGGCGAAGGCGGCGAUCUGGGAAGAUACUGACGCUGAGGUGCGAAAGCGUGGGGAGCAAACAG